rnacentral:rRNA from 1 species
UACGUAGGGUCCGAGCGUUGUCCGGAAUUACUGGGCGUAAAGAGCUCGUAGGUGGUUUGUCGCGUUGUUCGUGAAAACUCACAGCUCAACUGUGGGCGUGCGGGCGAUACGGGCAGACGUUGAGUACUGCAGGGGAGACUGGAAUUCCUGGUGUAGCGGUGGAAUGACGCAGAUAUCAGGAGGAACACCGGUGGCGAAGGCGGGUCUCUGGACAGUUCCUGACGGCUGAGGCAACGAAGGCCAGGGGAGCAAA